GAUGAACGCUGGCGGCGUGCCUAAUACAUGCAAGUCGAGCGAACGGACUAGAAGCUUGCUUCUCUGAUGUUAGCGGCGGACGGGUGAGUAACACGUGGAUAACCUACCUAUAAGACUGGGAUAACUUCGGGAAACCGUAGCUAAUACCGGAUAAUAUUUUGAACCGCAUGGUUCAAAAGUGAAAGACGGUCUUGCUGUCACUUAUAGAUGGAUCCGCGCUGCAUUAGCUAGUUGGUAAGGUAUCGGCUUACCAAGGCAACGAUGCAUAGCCGACCUGAGAGGGUGAUCGGCCACACUGGAACUGAGACACGGUCCAGACUCCUACGGGAGGCAGCAGUAGGGAAUCUUCCGCAAUGGGCGAAAGCCUGACGGAGCAACGCCGCGUGAGUGAUGAAGGUCUUCGGAUCGUAAAACUCUGUUAUUAGGGAAGAACAUAUGUGUAAGUAACUGUGCACAUCUUGACGGUACCUAAUCAGAAAGCCACGGCUAACUACGUG
rnacentral:rRNA from 1 species